rnacentral:misc_RNA from 1 species
GCGCGCUCGCUGGUUGGCCGUUGUAAUUAUGUAAACGAUAUUCCCCAACCGGAGGCGUUGGGACCGGGCUAAACAGUUUCGCGAAAUAAAAAGCCCCGGUCCACGGGCGAGGCUUUGUAGCGGGCGAACAAGCCGCGAAAGCGUAACCACCCUUCACGUUCCAACGGUUCGCCGCAACAAACUCGAUGCAACGAGUUUAUUUACGGACACCUGCAUGUUCAAUUCGUGUUCAGAUUUUGCCCGUCCACUGUUGCGUCCGGCUACUCCGUCGUGUAUAAUACAUCGUACACGUGUGUGUAUGAUGGCGUGGACAAAAGGAAUCGCGUUUCACAAAAGGAGCAUUUCGUAGGAACGCGGUCGCGAGAUCACCGUCGACGACCACCAGCACGUAACAUUAACGCGUGGCCAUUGUCGAUAAUUUCAAUUCCGUAACUAGUCCCCUGGCAAGUGUUCCAACCAACGAAUCCGAAAACGUCUCGUUUCGCUAUCGAGUCGUAGCUGGACCAGACAGCGGAUUUUCCACGAAGCGAGGAUGUCUUCGCAGGGGAUGGAGGAAGACGACGAAAGUCGUGAAGACGAGGGUGAAACCGAUGGGUGCCCGCGAAGCCCGGAUCAAGGGGAGCGUGAUUACCUCGAAAUUCGGGCUUUCUGGCCAUCGCUAUAAGUGACAUCAGUCUGAUAAACAACACUUGUCUACGAGCAGAGGACGAUAAGGGUGAAGGGCUGCUGUAUUAGCCGAAACGAUCCUUGCCUGGGGAAAAUAUUUGUGUUGGUCGCUUCCGUGAAAUUAGGUCCGUAUUACAUGGCUUUCAACGACGGA